GUCAUCUUAGCUCAAUUGGUAGAGUACAUGGCUUUUAACCAUGUGUUCAUGGAUUUUAUUCCAGUAGAUGAUC
rnacentral:tRNA from 1 species